rnacentral:rRNA from 1 species
CCUACGGGAGGCAGCAGUGGGGAAUAUUGGGCAAUGGAGGAAACUCUUACCCUGCAAUGCCGCGUGAGUGAAUGAAGGUCUUCGGAUUGUAAAGCUCUUUGAUUGGGGACGAAUAAAUGACGGUACCCAAGGAACAAGCCCCGGCUAACUAUGUGCCAGCAGCCGCGGUAA